AAGUUGUCUAAUGGUUAUGACAUCAGACUUCUACCUUAGAGGGUUUCUGUUAUCUGGAGGUUGCAGGUUUGAGUCCUGCUAGGAGUU